UGGGGAAUCUUGCACAAUGGGCGAAAGCCUGAUGCAGCAACGCCGCGUGGGUGAAGAAGGUUCUUGGAUUGUAAAGCCCUUUCGGCUGGAAAGAAGGGUCUUUAAGUUAAUACCUUAGAGAUCUGACGGUACCAGAAGAAGAAGCACCGGCUAAUUCCGUGCCAGCAGCCGCGGUAAUACGGAAGGUGCAAGCGUUGUUCGGAAUGACUGGGCGUAAAGCGCACGUAGGCGGGUUUGUAAGUCGGAUGUGAAAGCCCUGGGCUCAACCUAGGAAUGGCACCCGAAACUACAAGUCUUGAAUACCUGAGAGGUUGGCGGAAUUCCUGGUGUAGGAGUGAAAUCCGUAGAUAUCAGGAGGAAUAUCGGAGGCGAAGGCGGCCAACUGGUGGUGUAUUGACGCUGAGGUGCGAAAGCGUGGGGAGCAAACAGGAUUAGAUACCCCCGUAGUCC
rnacentral:rRNA from 1 species